GAUCACGCUACUCUGGGAGUCCUCAAGAUCUGAGAGGGAUGUGUCCAACAAAAUCAAGCGCCAUAAACCUUUGGCACAUCCAGCGACAGCUGCUAAGGGAGUUCACAGUCAAUCCGGAGCCUAUCCUGGGAGCACCGGGCAUGAGGAAUGUUCCAGCCACAGAACAUCUUCCACUAAAUGUUUGAUAUUGUCUUUAACAAAAGAAGAUUUGGAUGCAAUGGAUUUUAACAGGAAACAGGGCAAGCACAUCACACAUGACAAAUUAUCAAAUUCAAAAAGACUGGAAGUGUUGCAGAACAACAGAGAAGUGGACGCCCAUGAACAUCCAUGCACAACAUCCAUGAACAACAUGAUGAAGGAACAACCUACAUGGUGCUGGAAAACAUGGGACAUCC
ensembl:lncRNA